ensembl:lncRNA
GUUGCAAAUAGGUUUUAUUGCCCAACGGCCAGAUCAAGUAGACAUUUAACAAGCUUUAAUUCUUCAUCAAGCUUCAGAUUUUUCACCCGGGAAAUCUUCCUCCUUUUCACCCUCUGUUUUCUUUUCCUUUGUUAAAAGCAGGACAUGACAGCCUGCAGGGUGAUGUCUAUUGUUACGAGUUGAAAGAUCUAGCAUGCUCUGGAGUCUGAGAGAAUGAAUGAAUUAUUAACAUCCUUCCCUACUGUUCCUGGGCUUGAUGGGAGUGAACUUUGGAUCUUUCUGGCUGAACAGAAGAAAGGCAAUAGUCCAGGAGAAGAAACAGCAGCUUUACAACAGCAACUAAACAGCUUGUCCCAGCAGCCAUGGUAAUUUGUUUGAGAGGAGGAAGAAGAGGAGGAAGACUACUGAGUUUUCAACCAGAAAGACUUGCCUACUGCUAUCUAAUUUUUUUUGUAUAACCAAGGCAGUUAACUUGUAAACUGUUACCUGCAGAUCAUUUUGUGGCCAAAGAGGUGAUGACUGAGACCGCCAGCACUUUAGCUGCAGACCUGGAUCAUCCACAAGUACUUUUGGUCUGAGGCUGGAGCUGCUCUUCCUGUUCAUACACUACACCGAGUGAUACACAUUCAACUUGAAUAACAGCUGAAGCCAGGGCCCCCAUGUCUACAGCUUGUGGGGGAUAAUGCGUAUCUGCAAUCAACGCACAUGCAAGGAAGAAAAAUCAGACUGUACCCAGCAGAAAGAUUCUCCCAUAAUUACCCAACUUUUUCUGGUGAAGCGCCUGGGAUGUGUACCGUCACACAGCAUUUUGCAAGCGGUUUGAUUUGCUCACUGCGUUUCCUGUCCUCUUCUGAGGAAUCCAGGGAGCUCCCGGGCUGGAAAUGUGUGGCAACGAAGCGGACAGACCUCAUUGGGGAGUGCUGGACUGUAUGGCAGAAGGGAUGAAGUGACCUCUCUGAUCCUUUCCAAAUCUGUAUCUUAGGACUGUGAUAAGAGACUGAAAUGUAAACCUUAUGCUAGCGUGUAAUGCACACUUUGAGCACAAAUGGAAACCGUGAGGGAGGGAAAAAAAAGUUUUAGUGUACUUUUCACACUGGAAAUGACUUAACCUCCUAUAUUUUCUUCCUCUUUUUUCUUUUUUUUUUCCCAGCAUACUCAUCUUACUACUCCCAGCAUACUACUCCCAGUAACUCAUUAACAAAGUUUCAGUGAAUUCGAAGCAAAGGCAAAGAGGAACAGUUUGCUCUCUUGCAGCAGUUAUUGAAUGUGCCCCCCAGUUACUUUUUUUCCCACAUUUCCUUUAAACUAACAAAGAGCUGUAAAUAAACACCCUUAGAAGCCAAACAACAGACACCAAAUAUUUUGAGAAUGAAACUCAUCAGAAAGGCCCAUUCCCUGGGCAAAGCGCUCAAUCAGUUUAAUUUUUUUUUUCUUACUGAAA